rnacentral:rRNA from 1 species
GAGUUUGAUCCUGGCUCAGAGCGAACGUUAGCGGCGGGCUUAACACAUGCAAGUCGAGCGAGAAAGUGGCUUCGGCCAUCAGUAAAGCGGCGGACGGGUGAGUAACACGUAGGUAAUCUUCCCUUGAGCGGGGGACAACGAGCCGAAAGGCUCGCUAAUACCGCAUAAGUUUCCAGGGACCUCGGUCUUUGGAAGGAAAGCUAGCCAGGUCGCAAGACUUGGCCGGCACUCGAGGAGGGGCCUGCGUCGCAUCAGCUAGUUGGUGGGGUAAUGGCUCACCAAGGCGAAGACGCGUAGCUGGUCUGAGAGGAUGAUCAGCCACACUGGGACUGAGACACGGCCCAGACUCCUACGGGAGGCAGCAGUGGGGAAUAUUGGACAAUGGGCGCAAGCCUGAUCCAGCCACGCCGCGUGAGUGAUGAAGGCCUUCGGGUCGUAAAGCUCGUGUGGAGGGGGACGAACCGCUGCACGUU